rnacentral:rRNA from 1 species
UACGUAGGGUGCAAGCGUUAAUCGGAAUUACUGGGCGUAAAGCGUGCGCAGGCGGUUUUGUAAGUCUGUCGUGAAAUCCCCGGGCUCAACCUGGGAAUUGCGAUGGAGACUGCAAGGCUAGAAUCUGGCAGAGGGGGGUAGAAUUCCACGUGUAGCAGUGAAAUGCGUAGAGAUGUGGAGGAACACCGAUGGCGAAGGCAGCCCCCUGGGUCAAGACUGACGCUCAUGCACGAAAGCGUGGGGGAGCAAACAGG